GACGAACGCUGGCGGCGUGCUUAACACAUGCAAGUCGAACGGAAAGGCCCCAGCUUGCUGGAGUGCUCGAGUGGCGAACGGGUGAGUAACACGUGGGUAAUCUGCCCUUCACUUUGGGAUAAGCCUGGGAAACUGGGGCUAAUACCGGAUAGGACCUUCCUCUUCAUGGGGGUGGGUGGAAAGUUUUGCGGUGGAGGAUGGGCCCGCGGCCUAUCAGCUUGUUGGUGGGGUAAUGGCCUACCAAGGCCAUGACGGGUAGCCGGCCUGAGAGGGUGAUCGGCCACAUUGGGACUGAGAUACGGCCCAGACUCCUACGGGAGGCAGCAGUGGGGAAUAUUGCACAAUGGGCGGAAGCCUGAUGCAGCAACGCCGCGUGAGGGAUGACGGCCUUCGGGUUGUAAACCUCUUUCGGUAGGGACGAAGCGCAAGUGACGGUAACGGGAGAAGAAGCACCGGCUAACUACGUG
rnacentral:rRNA from 1 species